GGCUGCCAGACCGCGGUGGUGGUGCGUGCGUAGUGUCCUUGUUGUGUGUGUGUCUGUGUGUCCCAGCCCGCGUCAUCUGCGGCGUCGACCUCAAGACAGUCUGUGCCGGCCGGUUCUCUUCACCUCGUCAAUACCCUUCGUCGAGAGUCUUACCGGAGGCAGUUGUCGAUUGAGCUUCAGGAGCAGCGGGAGUGAUGAGUUUUCAGUGGUGUGGACAACGCCAGUCAUCGGAGCCCUCCAACUAGAUGUUGUCCUGGCAGUGUCGCAGUCCUUCAACAAGCCCCCGCCGCGGCCUUCACGAGCUGUCUGCCAAAUACAAAUGAGAUGAACAUCAAUUCAAG